UAAAGAAUGGGCUUGACAUUCCCUCCCACUUCCAAAUAUUGUCCGGACCGGAUCUAAGCCGCCAUCCCCAAUAUGGCGACAUAUCCAGUCUCAGGCACUUUCCUUUACCCACCCCAAUAUGUCCGUUCUGUUUCAUCAUGUUUUCUGCACAUAUGGCAAUACAUCACGUCCUGUGACGUACUUCCGAUAUUUCGUAUUCCUGCUUCCUUUUUACUUGCGUCACAUGACGUUUUUGUGGGAUUCGGUGUAUUUCGUGAUUGGACUAGGUGGGGGGAGAUGAAAAGGCUCUGCUCCAUUUUCUUAGAGGGC